AUCUAAAUAGUUUAACUAAAAUUUUGAUUUGUGGAAUCAAGGAUAUGAAAUUCAUUUUAGAUU
rnacentral:tRNA from 1 species